UACACAGAAGAACGAAAAAUUCAGUUUACCAGGUUGAAAUGGAAUUGAAAUAGAGAUCGGAGAAGAUAAUAAUCUAAUAUGAGUGCGUGUAGAAUAUAUUCUCAACGUUCCUGACGAGAGAAGCGAAUAUUUUAAUAAAGCAAGACGUAUCUGCUCUCUCGACAUUUCUCUACACACUGAGAGAAAAGACUGGUAGGACUUUCGAGAUAGGCAGAGGCGAAUUAGAGGAUAUUGGACGAAUGUGGUUAGUUCUCCCCCACUCCCUUCCCCGCUCGGCAACGCACAUAUAAUAUGAUAUCCUUUCAGUGUAUAAGCAGAAAAGGAUAAGUCGGGAAUGCACUGGAAGUGAAGCUUUCAAACGUCUGAUUCUCUCAGACCAGUGCAUCCCUUCAUACUCGCGAAAUCUCACGUUUGAUCCCGCGGCGGAUCCGUGCAUCGACGUUGAUGAACGUCCGCCACGUGUGAGCACGGCACAAACGACGGACAAACAACGUCGUCCUGUAAUUUCGACAAUCAAAGGGAGUCGACCGGCGAAUGAUGUCCAGGGCAACUGCAUCUUGUAAAUGAAGCGCCUUGUAAUCUCGUCCGUAUCAAGGCUACGCCGUGGAUUCACAUGUCGCGCGCGGAGAUGCAGAUAUUACAAUUGUUAUUUUUAGAAAAUAUGUUGCUUCAUGUCUCUGCUGCGAGUCGGAGACGCGGGCAAAUUGUUCGAACGUGCGUGCGUCACGACACAAUAAUUUUUCGCAGAAUAUAUUUCUAUAUUUUUUCUUAGGAAAUAGUGAAGUUAAAAAAAAUCUGUCUUCAAAUGUAUUAACUAUCACGUAAUUCGAAAUUGCAGCGUACAAAUGCGAAUCUAGGUAGGAUCCAGGCGGACUUGUCGACUACUGAAGUUGGUAAAACCGAUUUUUUCUAUUUUCUAACAAGUUGCAGAACUAAGCAAGCAAGAUUUGUAAACAUAUCAAAAAUGUUCGUUAAGGCUUUGAAAUUCCUGCUUGCUUAAUUCUGAAAUCUGUUAAAAAACAGUAGAAAUAAUCGAUUUUGCCACUUUGCCUCGGUAGCCAACUAGCCCCGACCUCCCCUAAAUUUAACCAUCUUUAAAUAUGUUACCUACAGCUUGAAAGAAAAAAAGAUUAUAAACCCGUGAUUUCAUUUGUGCUGUUAGCGCACAAUAUAGUCUAAAAAAAUAUGCAUAAAUAUAAAUACUUAACGUGGGGAAAGAACACAAAGGAGUUAUUACUGAAAUAGCUUCUUAACGCGCACGUAUUUUUGUUGGCCGACAAAUUCUCGCCUUUCCCGCUCAAAGCGUAUUAUUAGCGUUGCAGCAUAGCCCGGGAACUAUGCAUUAUCCAAGCGGACGGAUACAAACGACCAUAACCGUGUCUUGCAGAUGCAAGAGUAAGGGAGCGAGAGAGAAAGGGGGAGGGGGACGGAACCAUAUCUACGAUUAAAAACAUUUAAUAACAAAAAGCAUUUACGUGCCAUUUCGCGGAAUAACAUCGCCCGAAGGCGAUGAGAACAAAGUGUUAGAACCCGAGUAAGUGCCUGCGGUAAGCGAGAGUACGCGUGCGUUGCAUAAUACAUUUCCAUCGAAGAUAGCUUAAGGUGGGGUCCACAGGGUUUCAUCGACCGAUCUGGCGCAGGGUGGAGCUUAAGCCAGACGACAGUGCGUCACCGCCUUUUCGUGAGGGCCUUCUUCCUGUUCUUCUCAUCCUCACCUGCAAU